GUUCUCGCGAGCUCUCCGUCUCUGCUGGUGCCGCGAGACUUCUCUGAGUAGAGCGAGAACGGAGUCGUGGAUCCCGGUUGGUGUGGUUGCUGUUUGCACCCGGCAUGCAAGGAGUCGUGGGACCCAGUUCUGAGGAAAAUCAAACCUGGGAGGGUGGUGAACACAUGAAUGAGGGAUGAAAUCAUGUCAGUUUCUCAAUCUUAACUGGGUAAGGCGACUCUUCUUCUCACUUUCUUUCAAUAACCUCAAAACUGGUAAGUACUUGGUAAUUCAAAAAUUGCUUCCAGAAAAAACAAAUUAAAGUAUACUAUUUCUGCACAUACUCUUUAAAUAAGAGUCUAAAUAAGACUGAGUGAAAAAUAGCCAAAGCAAUCAAAAGAGAAAACUAAAGCAAACUUAAAUGUUUGAUUUGAAAUUAUUGCAAAAAAACCCUGAAGAAUUCUAGGCCAUCCUUCUUGAAUAUAGUUAAGGAUGAUCAUUUGCUAUUUUAUAAAUAGGCAUACAGAAAAUUUACAGUAAAGAGAUGUCAAUGUUAAA